rnacentral:rRNA from 1 species
AUUGAACGCUGGCGGCAGGCCUAACACAUGCAAGUCGAACGGUAACAGGAAGCAGCUUGCUGCUUUGCUGACGAGUGGCGGACGGGUGAGUAAUGUCUGGGAAACUGCCCGAUGGAGGGGGAUAACUACUGGAAACGGUAGCUAAUACCGCAUAACGUCGCAAGACCAAAGAGGGGGACCUUAGGGCCUCUUGCCAUCGGAUGUGCCCAGAUGGGAUUAGCUAGUAGGUGGGGUAACGGCUCACCUAGGCGACGAUCCCUAGCUGGUCUGAGCGGAUGACCAGCCACACUGGAACUGAGACACGGUCCAGACUCCUACGGGAGGCAGCAGUGGGGAAUAUUGCACAAUGGGCGCAAGCCUGAUGCAGCCAUGCCGCGUGUAUGAAGAAGGCCUUCGGGUUGUAAAGUACUUUCAGCGGGGAGGAAGGGAGUAAAGUUAAUACCUUUGCUCAUUGACGUUACCCGCAGAAGAAGCACCGGCUAACUCCGUG